AGGAUGCGAGCGUUAUCCGGAUUUAUUGGGUUUAAAGGGUGCGCAGGCGGAAGAUCAAGUCAGCGGUAAAAUUGAGAGGCUCAACCUCUUCGAGCCGUUGAAACUGGUUUUCUUGAGUGAGCGAGAAGUAUGCGGAAUGCGUGGUGUAGCGGUGAAAUGCAUAGAUAUCACGCAGAACUCCGAUUGCGAAGGCAGCAUACCGGCGCUCAACUGACGCUCAUGCACGAAAGUGUGGGUAUCGAACAGGAUUAGAUACCCUGGUAGUCCACACAGUAAACGAUGAAUACUAAUUGUUCGGGGAGAAUGAUCCCUGAGUGAUACAGCGAAAGCGUUAAGUAUUCCACUUGGGGAGUACGCCGGCAACGGUG
rnacentral:rRNA from 1 species